rnacentral:misc_RNA from 1 species
UUCUUGCGGUUAGGCUGUGG